UGGGAGCUGGACCCAGGGCAUCUGCACUGGGGUGGCCCCAGCCCCGUCUGCAGGCAGAGGGAGCAGAGGGUCCCACCAGCAGCUGGGUGGCACUCGGCUCUUCCUCCUGGGCUGUGGAAGGAGAUGUCAGAAUCCCAAAAGAUCAGAAAUAGCUUUCUGAAGGAAAAAAAGGGCUUAAAAAGAGAGUUAAACCUGAAUGUUAAUUUUAACCAGGUCCUACUGAACUUCGGUGGCUGGAGCACUGCGGCGUGCGUGCUUCUUGCAGCAGUGAGGAGAGAUGAGGCCGGCGCGGGACCGGAAUAGCUGUGAAAUUCUGAGAAGUUUGGGUUUGGUUCCAAACUUUAUCACCGACCGCUGCUGCUGCAGCAGCCAAACCAGCGGCUUUGAUGUGAAAUCCCAAAUUCUGCAAGCAUCUGAGUCUGAACAUCGAGGGCCGGUUACAUUGCCAAUAACAGGCGAAUUCUGUGUGAGCUCCGAAAUAACAGUGUACACUGGGGGCCAUGGAAAAGGAGUGAGGUCCUUUUCCCUUCCUGUUUUAAAAUCAAUGCAGACUUCACCAGAUAGUACUGUUCUCUCCUUUGCUUGCAGUACAAAGGCGGUGUUGAUGAAACUUUGGCAACUUGGGGGAUUGCUAAUGGCCCAAGAGUUUUUUGCAUGCCUGGACUGCCAGGUCACACUCAGAAUGGGUUGUGUGUGGCUUUGAGGGUAUUUUCGUGGCUCUCUCGUGGGUCCUGUGACACAAAUUUAGUGGCCAGCUACGACUUAACCUCCCGUCACUACUGCGAGCGCCCCAGGUUUUCGGUAGCAGUCUCAGCAGAGGAGCCAAGCAGAGAGGAGCCGUCCUGGGUCCCGUGGGGCUCCCGGCAGAACUGGACACACUCUGGGCACAUCCCUCUGCCCGGGGAACCGUCCCUGCAGUGAUCCCUGCUCUCCGGGGGAACUAACCCCAUGCCUUUUCUGGCCACCCCUCUGUACGCAUGCAGUAGCUGGAGACCACAAGGAUGGGAAGUUGUUGCUUCUCAGCUGGGAGAUGAGCAUCUUCCACUACCAUCCACAAACCUCCAUCCACCAGUCAAACUCGUUAGUAGCUUAAUGAGCCGUCUUGUCAGAGACAGCAAAGGUUACCUAGACCAAGACUGGUGAGUAACUGUGGGGAGACGGAGUCCCUUGUCCUGGUGCUAAAACGUCUCUGCCUCUUUUUCUUUCCUGUCCAUCUCUCCAACACUUCCUUUCCACUCCUUUUCUUUAGACUCCUCCUGACUUGCUUGAAUAGAUCCAUUUUCCUGAGAUCAGUUGCAGCAAUUUUGCAGGUUCGUGAAAGCAGGUUGCACCGGAGGCUGGUGGACCCCAGUGUGGUGUCUGCAGCUGAGCACGCUGGAUCAUCAGCGCAGCCUCGUCACAGCCCCUGAUGCCCAAAUGGUGCCUCUGUCCCACAGGUUGUCCCUGAAGCUGUGAGGUGACCAGCUAAGCUGAUCACAGAUAAAGAUCAUCCAGAAAACUCUGAAGAGGUGAGAAGCCAGCUAAACCCGGGAGUCUUUGAAGGUUUUGUCAGACUUCAGUUAAUGAGAUCAGUGUCUCCUGAAUCAGGCUCGGGUGUGACUCAGCUGUGAUUAGACAGCAUCACCUCCUGAUGGGCUCAUUUCCCAUUUCCACUUUUGUCUGCAGCCACCUGG